rnacentral:rRNA from 1 species
CUUGAGUGUGGUAGGGGCAGAGGGAAUUCCCGGUGUAGCGGUGAAAUGCGUAGAUAUCGGGAAGAACACCAGUGGCGAAGGCGCUCUGCUGGGCCAUCACUGACGCUCAUGGACGAAAGCCAGGGGAGCGAAAGGGAUUAGAUACCCCCUGUAGUCCUGGCCGUAAACGAUGAACACUAGGUGUCGGGGGAAUCGACCCCUCCGGUGUCGUAGCCAACGCGUUAAGUGUUCCGCCUGGGGAGUACGCACGCAAGUGUGAAACUCAAAGGAAUUGACGGGGGCCCGCACAAGCGGUGGAGUAUGUGGUUUAAUUCGAUGCAACGCGAAGAACCUUACCAGGGUUUGACAUCCUGCGAAUCUCUUGGAAACUUGAGAGUGCCUCCGGGAGCGCAGUGACAGGUGGUGCAUGGCUGUCGCCAGCUCGUGUCGUGAGAUGUUGGGUUAAGUCCCGCAACGAGCGCAACCCACGUCUUUAGUUGCCAGCAUUUAGUUGGGCACUCUAGAGAGACCGCCGGUGAUAAACCGGAGGAAGGUGUGGAUGACGUCAAGUCAUCAUGCCCCUUACAUCCUGGGCUACACACGUACUACAAUGCUACGGACAAAGGGCAGCAAGUUCGCGAGGGCAAGCAAAUCCCAUAAACCGUGGCUCAGUUCAGAUCGUAGGCUGCAACUCGCCUACGUGAAGGAGGAAUCGCUAGUAAUCGCAGGUCAGCAUACUGCGGUGAAUACGUUCCCGGGCCUUGUACACACCGCCCGUCACACCAUGGAAGUUGGCCACGCCCGAAGCCGUUACUCCAACCCUUGUGGAGGAGGACGUCGAAGGUGGGGCUGAUGACUGGGGUGAAGUCGUAACAAGGUAGCCGUA